ensembl:Mt_tRNA
CAAGAUGUAGCUUAAAUAAAGCAUCUAGUUUACACCUAGAAGAUUUCACAAUUCGUGCACAUCCUGA